rnacentral:rRNA from 1 species
UGGGGAAUCUUGCGCAAUGGCCGAAAGGCUGACGCAGCGACGCCGCGUGUGGGAGGACGCCUUUCGGGGUGUAAACCACUGUUGCCCGGGACGAACACGGCUAUUCGUAGCCGCUGACGGUACCGGGUGAGGAAGCACCGGCUAACUCCGUGCCAGCAGCCGCGGUAAUACGGAGGGUGCGAGCGUUGUCCGGAAUCAUUGGGCGUAAAGGGCGCGUAGGUGGCCCGGUCAGCGUGCGGUGAAAGCUCGGGGCUCAACCCCGAGUCGGCCGUGCGAACUGCUGGGCUCGAGCACUGUAGAGGCAGGCGGAAUUCCGGGUGUAGCGGUGGAAUGCGUAGAGAUCCGGAAGAACACCGGUGGCGAAGGCGGCCUGCUGGGCAGUAGCUGACACUGAGGCGCGACAGCGUGGGGAGCAAACA